UACGGGGGGGGCAAGCGUUGUUCGGAAUUACUGGGCGUAAAGGGCGCGUAGGCGGCCUUCUAAGUCAGACGUGAAAUCCCUCGGCUUAACCGGGGAACUGCGUCUGAUACUGGAUGGCUUGAAUUCGGGAGAGGGAUGCAGAAUUCCAGGUGUAGCGGUGAAAUGCGUAGAUAUCUGGAGGAAUACCGGUGGCGAAGGCGGCAUCCUGGACCGACAUUGACGCUGAGGAGCGAAAGCGUGGGGAGCAAACAGG
rnacentral:rRNA from 1 species